CAAGUCGAACGAGAAAGCCCGCAAGGGUGAGUAAAGUGGCGUACGGGUGAGUAACACGUGGGUAAUCUACCUUCUGGUGGGGAAUAACGCUGGGAAACCGGCGCUAAUACCGCAUAAUCCCGAAAGGGGAAAGGAGAAAUUCGCCGGAAGAGGAGCCCGCGGCUGAUUAGCUAGUUGGUGAGGUAAUGGCUCACCAAGGCAAUGAUCGGUAGCCGGCCUGAGAGGGCACACGGCCACACUGGCACUGAAACACGGGCCAGACUCCUACGGGAGGCAGCAGUGGGGAAUCUUGCACAAUGGGGGAAACCCUGAUGCAGCGACGCCGCGUGAGCGAUGAAGCCCUUCGGGGUGUAAAGCUCUUUCGGCAGGAACGAUAAUGACGGUACCUGAAGAAGAAGCUGCGGCUAACUACGUGCCAGCAGCCGCGGUAAUACGUAGGCAGCAAGCGUUGUUCGGAGUUACUGGGCGUAAAGAGUGCGUAGGCGGUGCUCUAAGUUUGGUGUGAAAUCUCCCGGCUCAACUGGGAGGGUGCGCCGAAAACUGGAGUGCUUGAGUAUGGGAGAGGCAAGCGGAAUUCCUGGUGUAGCGGUGAAAUGCGUAGAUAUCAGGAGGAACACCUGUGGUGUAGACAGCUUGCUGGACCAUCACUGACGCUGAGGCACGAAAGCGUGGGUAGCAAACAGGAUUAGAUACCCUGGUAGUCCACGCCCUAAACGAUGCAUACUUGGUGUGAGCCAUUCAUUUGGUUCGUGCCGGAGCUAACGCGUUAAUUAUGCCGCCUGGGGAGUACGGUCCCAAGGCUGAAACUCAAAGGAAUUGACGGGGGCCCGCACAAGCGGUGGA
rnacentral:rRNA from 1 species